rnacentral:tRNA from 2 species
GCCGACGUGGUGGAAUUGGUAGACACGCCAUCUUGAGGGGGUGGUGACCGUAAGGUUGUAUGAGUUCGAGUCUCAUCGUCGGCACCA